UACGUAGGGACCAAGCGUUGUUCGGAUUUACUGGGCGUAAAGGGCGCGUAGGCGGCUUUGUAAGUCACUUGUGAAAUCUCUGAGCUUAACUCAGAACGGCCAAGUGAUACUGCAAUGCUAGAGUAUUGGAGGGGCAAUCGGAAUUCUUGGUGUAGCGGUGAAAUGCGUAGAUAUUAGGAAGAACACCAGUGGCGAAGGCGCUCUACUGGGCCAUUACUGACGCUGAUGGACGAAAGCUAGGGGAGCGAAAGGG
rnacentral:rRNA from 1 species